UACAGAGGUCUCAAGCGUUGUUCGGAUUCAUUGGGCGUAAAGGGUGCGUAGGCGGCUUGUCAAGUCAGGGGUGAAAUCCGGCAGCUUAACUGUCGAAGUGCCUUUGAUACUGGCGAGCUCGAGGGAGGUAGGGGUCCGUGGAACUUCUGGUGGAGCGGUGAAAUGCGUUGAUAUCAGAAGGAACGCCGGUGGCGAAAGCGACGGACUGGAUCUCUUCUGACGCUGAGGCACGAAAGCUAGGGGAGCAAACGGG
rnacentral:rRNA from 1 species